CACUAUUAUCGGUACAUCGAAUUGCGGGACAUGGGAACACACCCAUAGGAUAACCAAGCCUAACCUUAAGACCAAAGCACCUACGCUCCUUUCAUGCCAGGAGCUAGUUAACUAUGUCCAGCCUAUUAUUAGGCACUCCUGCUACAAAGUAUACUGUGUCUUAUGAAGGCACCCGACUUAGAGCCACGCUUUAUGUUAAAAGUCCGCUUACUAGCAAUAAGGAUGUUACAUACUAUACAUAUGUACGUACGCCAAAACAAUGACGGUUGUCACUCUACAUACUUUACCUUUCUGUUAUCCUAUGUACGCCUACUGUUAGUUACGUAACUUAUCGCUGUAAUUAAACCCUGUCAGGAGACGUGGUUAUGUGGGCACAAAAAAAUGUGACUCAAAAUAUGGAAAUAUCGCUACAAUACCCUUGUCUUCUAAGUAGGCCUGCGAGCCGAAUUCUUUCU